rnacentral:rRNA from 1 species
GAUCAUGGCUCAGGACGAACGCUGGCGGCGUGCCUAAUACAUGCAAGUAGAACGCACAGUUUAUACCGUAGCUUGCUACACCAUAGACUGUGAGUUGCGAACGGGUGAGUAACGCGUAGGUAACCUGCCUGGUAGCGGGGGAUAACUAUUGGAAACGAUAGCUAAUACCGCAUAAUAUUGAAUAUCGCAUGAUAAUUGAUUAAAAGAUGCAAUUGCAUCACU